CAGCAGCCGCGGGAAUACGUAGGGUGCAAGCGUUGUCCGGAAUUAUUGGGCGUAAAGAGCUCGUAGGCGGCCUGUCGCGUCGGCUGUGAAAACUCAGGGCUCAACCCUGAGCCUGCAGUCGAUACGGGCAGGCUAGAGUCCGGCAGGGGAGACUGGAAUUCCUGGUGUAGCGGUGAAAUGCGCAGAUAUCAGGAGGAACACCGGUGGCGAAGGCGGGUCUCUGGGCCGGAACUGACGCUGAGGAGCGAAAGCGUGGGGAGCGAACAGGAUUAGAUACCCCCGUAGUCCCUGUCUCUUAUAU
rnacentral:rRNA from 1 species